GACAGAAAAGUACAAAGAGUUAACAUUUGAGUGUAUUCGAACAACUUCUUAAUAGCAGUAAACUUGCGCCGAUUCGUUUCUCUAGUUGGCGGUUAUGUUUGCUCUAUAAAAUCAUAUUGUAUAUCAAUAUUAAAAUACUAAAAAUUUUGUGUAUAAGAGCCGCAAUAUCCGCGUAUAGAUUUUUAUAUAUGUACGUAGGUACAUAUUUCAGUGGCGCCGUGUGUGUACAUGCAUGCAUAUAUGUAUGUAUCGACGAACAGACAGAAAGACAAAAUUAAUGUACGUACAGCACUAUAAAGUACACUGUGGAAUGGCAGGCGCAGUAGUAAUAGGCUAAAGAAAGACAAGGUAGAAGAAGCAGCAACGCGAACAAAAUAAAAUAGGCGAUAAUAGGCAACAAACGUUAAAACAACGCCGCGUUCUAAAACAACAAAACCUGCAAGGCAAAUUACAGUGUGUGCAUUUAAAUUUUGAGAAAAUGUAAAAAGA